rnacentral:rRNA from 1 species
AAGUCGUAACAAGGUAACCGUAGGUGAACCUGCGGUUGGAUCAUUAACAAUGAGCGUUUUGAACGCACACUAGACUAGUUUAGGCUAGUCUGGUAAACCCUCUGUGAACUGUUGCACUUUUAUAGUGAUUAAGACUGAAUCAAUGAGAUUAAUUAAAAUACAACUUUUAACAACGGAUCUCUUGGCUCUCGCAACGAUGAAGAACGCAGCGAAAUGCGAUACGUAAUGUGAAUUGCAGACCGUGAAUCAUCUAAUCUUUGAACGCAUAUUGCGCUCUUUGGUAUUCCGAAGAGCAUGCCUGUUUGAGAAUCGAUAACAUCAAUCAUCCCUUGGAUGUAGUAUUUAAUGUACUGCUCCUUGGGUUGGACUUGGGUAUUUAUCUUUGCCGAUAACACCUGUAAAACAGCGUCGACCUUGGCUUUAUUGUUACUUGGAACGUGUUUACUUGACGCAAGUCAUUUGUACUUUCAAUUAACGUUUAAAUAUAGUCUAGUGAGCGACUUAAACCAUCUACACUAACGUGUAAACUUGGUCUCAAAUCAGGCAAGAGUACCCGCUGAACUUAAGCAUAUCAAUAAGCGGAGGAAAAGAAACUAACAAGGAUUCCCCUAGUAACGGCGAGUGAAGCGGGAAGUGCUCAAAUUUGAAAUCUCGUAGGUUCCCUGCGCGAAUUGUAGUUUAGAGAAAUGUUUUCGAGGGUAAACUAAGCAUAAGUCUCCUGGAACGGAGCAUCGUAGAGGGUGAUAAUCCCGUCUUGGGCUUAGUUCUUACUUUCAUGUGAUACAUUUUCAAAGAGUCGGGUUGUUUGGGAAUGCAGCCCAAAAUGGGUGGUAAACACCAUCUAAAGCUAAAUAAUGGCGAGAGACCGAUAGCGAACAAGUACCGUGAGGGAAAGAUGAAAAGAACUUUGAAAAGAGAGUUAAAUAGUACGUGAAAUUGUUAAAAGGGAAACGUUUGAAACCAGUAUUGACUGUUGUUAUCUGAGUAGUCUGUGGACUGCUUAGCUCUGCCUUCAGUCAAGUCAACAUCAGUUUGACUUGGAGUAAACACUGCGAGGAAGGUAACCUUCGGGUAUUAUAGCCUUGUAGCAUGCUCCGGGUUGGACUGAGGAUCGCAGCGCAGUCUUGGGGGAACCUAUUGCCUGUUGAUGGCUUGGUAUAGACUACUUGUAGACUAUGCUUUGCUUCAAACAGUUCAGUUGGUGUACCACUCUUGCGCUUAAGAUGUUGACGAAAUGGUUUUAAGCGAC